rnacentral:rRNA from 1 species
UACGUAUGGUGCAAGCGUUAUCCGGAUUUACUGGGUGUAAAGGGAGCGCAGGCGGCGCGCCAAGUCUGAUGUGAAACCCCGGGGCUCAACCCCGGGCAUGCAUUGGAAACUGGCGGGCUGGAGUGCCGGAGAGGUAAGCGGAAUUCCUAGUGUAGCGGUGAAAUGCGUAGAUAUUAGGAGGAACACCAGUGGCGAAGGCGGCUUACUGGACGGCAACUGACGCUGAGGCUCGAAAGCGUGGGGAGCAGACAGG